rnacentral:rRNA from 1 species
CACGUAGGGGGCAAGCGUUGUCCGGAUUUAUUGGGCGUAAAGAGCUCGUAGGCGGCUCAGUAAGUCAGGUGUGAAACCUCCAGGCUCAACCUGGAGACGCCACCUGAUACUGCUGUGGCUAGAGUCCGGUAGGGGAGCGUGGAAUUCCUGGUGUAGCGGUGAAAUGCGCAGAUAUCAGGAGGAACACCAAUGGCGAAGGCAGCACUUCUGGG